rnacentral:rRNA from 1 species
ACUCCUACGGGAGGCAACAGUGGGGAAUAUUGCACAAUGGGNGGAAGCCUGAUGCAGCAACGCCGCGUGCGGGAUGACGGCCUUCGGGUUGUAAACCGCUUUCGCCUGUGACGAAGCGUGAGUGACGGUAAUGGGUAAAGAAGCACCGGCUAACUAC